rnacentral:rRNA from 1 species
AGAGUUUGAUCCUGGCUCAGAACGAACGCUGGCGGCAUGCCUAACACAUGCAAGUCGAACGAAGGCUUCGGCCUUAGUGGCGCACGGGUGAGUAACACGUGGGAACCUGCCUUUCGGUUCGGAAUAACGUCUGGAAACGGACGCUAACACCGGAUACGCCUCGGGUAAGGUUACGUCCGAGAGAGGGCCGGCGCCGGAUAGUAGUUGGUGAGGUAAUGGCUCACCAAGCCUUCGAUCCGUAGCUGGUCUGAGAGGAUGAUCAGCCACACUGGGACUGAGACACGGCCCAGACUCCUACGGGAGGCGAC